rnacentral:rRNA from 1 species
CGCAGCGACGCCGCGUGCGGGAAGAAGGCCUUCGGGUUGUAAACCGCUUUCAGGAGGGACGAAGCUACUCGGGUGAAUAGCCCAGAGGGUGACGGUACCUUCAGAAGAAGCCCCGGCUAACUACGUGCCAGCAGCCGCGGUAAUACGUAGGGGGCAAGCGUUGUCCGGAUUCAUUGGGCGUAAAGCGCGUGUAGGCGGCCAGGUAGGUCCGACGUGAAAACUGGAGGCUCAACCUCCAGCUGUCGUUGGAAACCAUCUGGCUAGAGUCCGGAAGAGGAGAGUGGAAUUCCUGGUGUAGCGGUGAAAUGCGCAGAUAUCAGGAAGAACACCAAUGGCGAAGGCAGCUCUCUGGGACGGUACUGACGCUGAGACGCGAAAGCGUGGGGAGCGAACAGGAUUAGAUACCCUGGUAGUCCACGCCGUAAACGAUGGGCGCUAGGUGUGGGCGGUGUCGACUCCGUCCGUGCCGAAGCUAACGCAUUAAGCGCCCCGCCUGGGGAGUACGGCCGCAAGGCUA